rnacentral:rRNA from 1 species
UACGUAGGGACCAAGCGUUGUCCGGAAUCAUUGGGCGUAAAGCGCGCGUAGGCGGCCCGGUAAGUCCGUUGUGAAAGUCGAAGGCUCAACCUUCGAAAGCCGAUGGAUACUGCCGGGCUAGAGUACGGAAGAGGCGAGUAGAAUUCCUGGUGUAGCGGUGGAAUGCGCAGAUAUCAGGAGGAAUACCCAUAGCGAAGGCAGCUCGCUGGGACGUUACUGACGCUGAGGCGCGAAAGCGUGGGGAGCGAACAGG